rnacentral:rRNA from 1 species
GACGAACGCUGGCGGCGUGCUUAACACAUGCAAGUCGAACGGAAAGGCCCUGCUUGCAGGGUACUCGAGUGGCGAACGGGUGAGUAACACGUGGGUGAUCUGCCCUGCACUUCGGGAUAAGCCUGGGAAACUGGGUCUAAUACCGGAUAGGAGCCAUUUUAGUGUGAUGGUUGGAAAGUUUUUUCGGUGUAGGAUGAGCUCGCGGCCUAUCAGCUUGUUGGUGGGGUGAUGGCCUACCAAGGCGGCGACGGGUAGCCGGCCUGAGAGGGUGGACGGCCACAUUGGGACUGAGAUACGGCCCAGACUCCUACGGGAGGCAGCAGUGGGGAAUAUUGCACAAUGGGCGCAAGCCUGAUGCAGCGACGCCGCGUGGGGGAUGACGGCCUUCGGGUUGUAAACUCCUUUCGCUAGGGACGAAGCUUUUUGUGACGGUACCUAGAUAAGAAGCACCGGCUAACUACGUG